CUUGGAUCUGGCUAACCCAUAAUCUUAUUGCUUUCAUUAUCCCAUUAAUUUCUCCUGACAUUCAUGCAGCAGACCCGUGUCAGCUGAGGAGUGCUGGACCUCAGUCUCCCAUCUCAGCUGACAACUUUCUUACACCCUUGCAGUGAUAGUGUUUGUGUGUUUGUUUUUAUGUGUUUGUUUGUUUUUGUUUUGUUUUUGCUUUCCCUCCUACAGUCAGCUGAGGGGUGUGCUCUUGAUAACAGUGGUUGUGUUUUCGUUUACCAGCAGUGGAAAUAAUCCUGUCGUGGUCUGGGCCUGGCUGCAAUUGCAUGCAUGCUGAUAGGAAAAUAUUUUCUAUUGGAUUUAACUGUAAGCGCUCUGGAUAUUAUUUUUUUCCAACCUUCUACCUCCCAAGAAUGUUACUUGUAUAUUUGUAUUUUCUAUGCUAAUAUACCACAGCAAGGUUCCAGCUGCUCAGACAAUUUGUGAGUACAGCCAGUACUGGAGUUUUUACCAAGAGAGGCAAAACUGAAUUCAUAGCAGUGAGAAACCAACCCUCUCAUAUUAGAGCUUCACUAACCAUGCAGUCUAAUGACUAGUGAUUGAGGGCAGGAAUUAAGUAGUCUGAGUGCCAGCUUGGUACCCAGCACCAGGGUUCCUGGUUAGUAGUAAUAUGUGGCCAGUAGCUUCAGCUGGCCACCUCACAAAACCUGGUGGCCCCUUGAGAAGGCAGUUGAAAUAGUGCCAAGCAUUCUGAAAUGAGUGGGUAGGAUAACAUGGGCUUCAUAUCUAAAAAGCAUAGAGUCCUCUUCGUCUUAACCAACCUACCAUUAAUGGUAGCCAUUUCAGCUGGGAGCACCUCUCCUAAACUGUCCAAAAAUUAAAAUAGUUAAACUGAUUGGACAAUUGUCUGCAUAAAGGUUCAUUUAAAAGAAAGAAACCUUAAAGUAUGUUUAUUUCAUAAUUUGAUAUUUAUUAUAACAUGAAGAUAGAAACAAUGCUUCCAUUGUGCUAAAUUAAAUAUUUUGUUUGAUACAAAGUGACAUUUUGGUAAUGAGUUUUUUUCUUGGAAAAUUCAGAAUGUUUUAAAGCAAAGAUUUGAAGGAAACACAUUUCUGAAUCACUUUUCUGUGAAGUAAGAGUCCUUUACACCUGUUUGUGACAUGAUUGGUUUUAUAUUUGCUUUAGCAUCUGGAAUCUCCAAUUAUAGAUCCAAACUUCAUGGUGUUUGUAUCA